rnacentral:rRNA from 1 species
UGACCUAGCGGCGGACGGGUGAGUAAUACUUAGGAAUCUGCCUAUUAAUGGGGGACAACAUCUCGAAAGGGAUGCUAAUACCGCAUACGCCCUACGGGGGAAAGCAGGGGAUCACUUGUGACCUUGCGUUAAUAGAUGAGCCUAAGUCGGAUUAGCUAGUUGGUGGGGUAAAGGCCUACCAAGGCGACGAUCUGUAGCGGGUCUGAGAGGAUGAUCCGCCACACUGGGACUGAGACACGGCCCAGACUCCUACGGGAGGCAGCAGUGGGGAAUAUUGGACAAUGGGGGGAACCCUGAUCCAGCCAUGCCGCGUGUGUGAAGAAGGCCUUAUGGUUGUAAAGCACUUUAAGCGAGGAGGAGGCUCUUUUGGUUAAUACCCAAGAUGAGUGGACGUUACUCGCAGAAUAAGCACCGGCUAACUCUGUGCCAGCAGCCGCGGUAAUACAGAGGGUGCGAGCGUUAAUCGGAUUUACUGGGCGUAAAGCGUGCGUAGGCGGCUUUUUAAGUCGGAUGUGAAAUCCCCGAGCUUAACUUGGGAAUUGCAUUCGAUACUGGGAAGCUAGAGUAUGGGAGAGGAUGGUAGAAUUCCAGGUGUAGCGGUGAAAUGCGUAGAGAUCUGGAGGAAUACCGAUGGCGAAGGCAGCCAUCUGGCCUAAUACUGACGCUGAGGUACGAAAGCAUGGGGAGCAAACAGGAUUAGAUACCCUGGUAGUCCAUGCCGUAAACGAUGUCUACUAGCCGUUGGGGUCUUUGAGACUUUAGUGGCGCAGCUAACGCGAUAAGUAGACCGCCUGGGGAGUACGGUCGCAAGACUAAAACUCAAAUGAAUUGACGGGGGCCCGCACAAAGCGGUGGAGCAUGUGGUUUAAUUCGAUGCACCGCGAAAAACCUUACCUGGUCUUGACAUAGUAAGAACUUUCCA